UAUCCUUUAUAUAAAUAUGAAACGUCAUCGACAACAUCUAAAACUAGAUGUACGUAUAUUUGUCAGUUGGAUGAAACAUGUACAGGUUUUAGCCAUCAAGGUGACCAAUGUGCUCUGUAUAAUAGUUAUUCUAUCAACAAUAUAUCACCGUGGAACGGAUCCCCUCCUUCAAUGUACAUGAUCAACGAUAAAGUAAAACAAUGUAUUGAAAAGGGCUAUAUCUACUAUAGAGAAAUAAAUCUGUGUAUCAGAAAGAGUACUGUCAGAAAAACCUGGGCCGCCGGUCAAAUAGAGUGUAAAGGUGAAGGUGGAGACCUGAUGAUCAUAUCUACACCAGGAAAACUGAAUGUAUUCCAACAGCAAGAUUUUCAUGACGCAGCAACAAGGUGGUUUGUUGGGGCCACUGAUAAUGUAGGCGGUGUUUGGAAAUGGAUCGACGGUUCGGCAAUAGGGGCGUUUAUAUGGGCAGUAGACGAACCUAAUAAUACUGGUGGAAACGAACAUUGUAUGGUUGUUAACAAAAUGGCUCCAUCUGUUGUAUAUUAUGGAACGGAUAAAGGGUGUGAUUCUGGUGGACUAAAUUUUGUUUGUGAAUUAGAAUUAGUUUAACAAUCUGUCAUGUCACAGGUAGUGUAGUAGUGAGAUUGUGUUACACCUGAAUCUAUUCUUUAGAACCUUAAAAUAAACGAAAAUGCAUCGAA